UGCUGCUAUCAAAGAGGAUGAGCUGGGCAUGGCAGCAUAUGCCUGUGAUCCCAGUACUUGGGAGGCUGAGGCAGGAGGAU
rnacentral:miRNA from 1 species